rnacentral:rRNA from 1 species
UGCCAGCCGCCGCGGUAAUACGGAGGGGGUUAGCGUUGUUCGGAAUUACUGGGCGUAAAGCGCGCGUAGGCGGACUGUUAAGUCAGGGGUGAAAUCCCGGGGCUCAACCCCGGAACUGCCCUUGAUACUGGUAGUCUUGAGUUCGAGAGAGGCGAGUGGAAUUCCGAGUGUAGAGGUGAAAUUCGUAGAUAUUCGGAGGAACACCAGUGGCGAAGGCGGCUUUCUGGACCAAUACUGACGCUGAGAUGCGAAAGCGUGGGGAGCGAACAGGAUUAGAUA